GGUGACGGGAAAAAUUGAGUAUUUACACCAGAGAGAAAUCUGUUAUCUGUGGUUGACCAAUACCAUGACACAGAAGUUUUGUGUUAAGGAAAAUUUCACUUACUCUGUCAUGACACAUGGACAUACCUCUGAGUUAAAUUUAUCCUUCAUCUUUACACCAGUUUAAAUCUUUCUAAGGAUUAUUGAUGGGUUAUCCAUUCUUCAGUUGGGAUCAUUAAAAUCAGUGGAAACAUUUAAUUGCAAUAGCCCUCCUUUGUUUCACCGUGAAGUCUGUUACUGCAUCAGCUGACUGUUGUGAUUAUUUUUUGACAGCCAAGCGCACAUAUUCCAGAAAACUUUUAAUACCUGUUACAAGUUUAAGUCAGACUUGAAGUUUGUUGGCAUGUCUGGAUCAAUUGAAUCAAUUAUGGUUCCUGUCAUAGAUAUAUGCAUGCAUUUAUAUGAGGACUAUGUUAAUAAAUGAACAUCAACACAAUCUUCAUCUUCUUGUGUUGGUCCCGCUGUGGUGUAUGAACAGGUAAGUCAUGCAUCAGAAACAGUGAAAAUCAAACUCUGCUUACAUGACUCUGUUUUUAUUUGACUUUUUCUUGACUAAUUUUCUGGACUGUUUCUAAACAGCGUCUGUGUUUCUCCCUCACAGGUUAACCUGACCUGAAGUUCCAGGUGAAGGGUCACUGUAAAUAUGUGCAGUGGACUCAUGGGAGGCGUCCCUCCCACAGAGCUGAGCCUUCCUCAGAGCCUCAGACAGAACGGACUGUUCUCUGCAGGAAAAAGGAGAAAAAUGUUCUUGGCAAUGAGUCAGACCUCUCUAUGAAAACCAUAGGGGGAUAUCCCUAAUCACACUCCCACACAGGAUCACACCCAGAACCCUAGAGGAGUGGCGCGCGUGUGUGAGAGAGUGGGAACACACCCAGAUGUAUGUGACUGUUUGCAUGUCUCAAAGUAUCCACUCCUUAAAUUCUUCCAGACUUUUCCGGGUUUGGCUCAGCUUGGGUCCAGACUUGUCAUCUGUCAUACCUUCUCUGUCAUCCUUGAACUGUUUGCCUGAAAUGUUGAGAAGCUUCCUUCUAAUGCAGGAAACAAUUAAGUUAUCAAACGGACACAAGCAAUAUGUAAAAGGCGGGUUAUACUGCACACAAUUUGAACACUGUCUGCUUCCUGGAAGUGCAGACAAAAUGUCAGGAGCACAAUGUUUCAAGGCUAUUAACUUGAGUGCUUUUUUAUUCAGUCUCAUUAUUUUUUAAACAGCAAAGGAAGUCAUGGAAAUGUAAUAUUAAUUUUUACACAGCUUUCAUUUUCACUCCUGUGAAGCUGUUUAAAAUUCAGGGAUUCUUUUUCAACCUGGGACACAGGAAAGUCUGCGUUUUAUUCUUUAUGUAGUGUGUCAGUCACAGGUGGGGAAAAAUCAGAGGGGUUGUGUUGUUUGUUGGCUGUGAAUUUAUUGUUCCAAUGGUGCCGAUGUGACAAUGGACACGAUGUAGAAGUGGAUCUGACAGCACAGAGGGAGGUGCGGGUGGAGUGUAUACAUCAAAACAGAAGGUUAUCCCUGGAAAAAACACAUGCAUGUAUGCAAACAUACACACAUCUAUCUUGGGAUGCCUGUUUGGAUCAAAACACACCUUUCCGGGGAGUCAGAUUCACAAAUUCAAACAUAGAAACCGGCACAGAGGGAGAGGAGCAGCUGAAUGAGGGAGAAAGAUGGAGAGCAAAGGAGAGAUACUCCAUUAAAUCUUUAUUUUGGAAUUUUAAAAAACUAGGUAAUACCCGUUCUGAUCUACGAGAGCUCCCUAAUUUAGGCCCUAAUGAGAAUAUUCCAAAUGUAGGGAGCCUUAUCAUGAAAAAUGGCUAGUAAGCAUUAAUAGUUUAUAGGUUGAGUUAAUGAUAGAGAUGAGUCCUAAUGGAGCUCUACUGAGCUCUGCUAUCUGGUGGUCCUGUUCACCAGUGCCAGGAACUGCUCUCAUUAUUUUGGAUUUAGUCCUGAAAUAAAAAUUAAAAGGCAUGAAUAAUAUCAGCUGCUGUUAAAGGGAAAGAGGAAUAUACGGGCUCAAAAAACAGGAUUCUGGUUGACUUUCAAAAAUCAAAAUGUAUUAUAAUGAGGAGACAGAUGAAGACAAAGAUAAAUACUGUUUUAACUAUCUUAGUCAACUGCUCUCUGAUUGGUCUGUGUCAGCACUGUAAAGUUUAUAGUGAAUUACUAAUGCUUCACUGUGGUCGGGGGUCCGUGUCUGGCCUGUUUCCACUAAGUUGCAGUUUGACUCCAUCAGCUGUCAUACAUCAACGCUUGCUGUAAUGCCAAAAAGCUAGAAUCAUGAAACCGAGAAUCAGUGGUGCUCCACCUCCAUGUUGAGCUUCUCCUUCUUCAUGUUGUCACUGAAACCUUCAUUGACUCCAAGCCUGGCUCCUCUCAUUAUUAUGUGUUCUUGGUGUAGUGAAAGUGUGGGUGUUCAGGGGCCUAUUCUACGAAGCAAGUUCGACCUAGCGAGGUAACCUUGGAGCAACCUCGCUCAACUUUGCACGGUAGCCAGAGGUCUCGCUAAACGGUCUUACGACGCUGGUUAUCAACCUCAUAAGUGGAUCCAGCUUUGCCAUGAGUGUGUGCACGCAUGUAAGGCGGAGCCCGCCGCAUCUGACCAAUCGAGAACAUGGACCAGUCUGGAGCGUCAGAGCAGGCCAGAGAGCAAAGGACCACGUACUUUACAAUCGAGGAGCAGGAGACGAUCAUGAGAAAGUAUGAAGAAUUCAAAUCUAUCAUAAAACCUCAAAAGCAACACCGUCACCGCUGCAAAAGCACAGAAGGAAUGCUGGCAGAAAAUGAAUCUUUGAUGCCAUUAUCACCCUGAAAUUGCACUGUUCAACAUGCGCUUUUAACAUGCCACAGACAUGCCUAAUUCAUUUCCAAGAUGAAUUCAUUCAUUUGUUCAUUCCUAUCGUGUUUACAUUUUUUGUGUGAUAUGUAGGCCAUACGAACCUUUGCAUAAAGGUGGUCAUCCGGAAAAGUAAGUGGGUCUGUGCAGUCCCUGAAAACUCUCGAGUGCCGGAGUGCUCCUCGGACAAUGUGAGCACCGAGGUCUAUAGGAUCCUCCAAGAACGGACAAGCCGUUUUUCGAGAGAAAUCAUUGGUCAGUGGGCGGGGUUUUUAUACUCGGUGAGUUUAAUCUGGAACCGAACCUGCCCCGGAGCAGGUUAGCCGUUCAACGUACGUUGCCAUGGAGACUCGCCUCACUAAGAAGGGAACCCGCGUCGUAGAACACGAAACCCCAAACUUACGCCCGAAGUUACCUCGCUAAGCAGUACUCCUGCUUCGUAGAAAAGGGCCCAGGUGGUGACUCAGUCUUGUGCAUGAACACACUCUUCUGUUGGUGAGCCAUGACCUGAGCCACUCUUUUUGAAUCUCAGGAAUGAGAACAUGAUUGUGGUUCCUCCCUGAAGACGAUGUGGUUCACUCUGGAACCACAUUUAGGGAGGGUCCAAGAAGUCUCCAAAGUCACUGAUAGUUUUCCUUUUUUGGGUUUCUUUGUUUGUUUGUUUGGUGUUUCUUUACCCUUAUCCUUUGAUUUCAGAGACAACUAUCUCACCCACAUCAUCAUUUAUAAGGAAGAUUUUCCUCCUGUACUUGGGUUAAAGUUGAAACCUAUAGCCGAGUUCUGCAAAGAAUUAUGUGCAUGUAUUUCUACGUUUACUGUGAACUUCCACAGCAUUGACUUGACUCUAUGAGCUCUAUUUUCGUGUCCGCUGGUGAGGCGAUGGAGGGUGGCGGACCCCGCGCAGUGAUAUUUUUGUCUGGCGGAGCCUGGCGUACAGCCAGUUUGGUAUUUUUGUGAACUGGGGCGCACUGAGGUCCGCCAAGCUGGGCAUGGUGGUGUGGCAGAGGGAGGUGUCAACAGAAUCAGCUGGCGCAGUGACAUUUUCAGUGACGUAUAAAUUGCGCUGAAAGCUUGCUAAUUCAAACCUCGUCAGCUUUCAGCGCAGGCGGAUGCGGCUGGUCUAGUGGUAUUUUGUAGACCGGCGGUGUAUUGGCAUACGUCACCGAUGCCUCACCGGCAGGUUUCCACAGUUUCAGGCACAUUUUAGUGCAAUAAAUAAUCAUCAACAACUAAUAAUCUGAGUCAGCACAUACAUUUAGAUCUAUAUAGAUAUAUUCUGAUCUAUAUCUUAUCUGAUGAGCUCGUUUGGCAUGCGUUUGGACACACAACCUGACCAAAUCAACACAGCUGAAACCGCAUUAAAUUAUAUUAAAUAUCUAGUAAAUAGACACACAUGAUGAAGUUAACGAGAUAUGUAAUUUGUCUCCCUCCUUUUCUUUCUUCCUCUUCCUUUUAUUUCUUGCGCAGCUCGACCUGGACAUGUCUCUGUGUCCUCUCCCUAUCCUGCUGCAGUGGCUGAACAGAUGAUCUGUGUUUCAAGCUUCAUCUUGGUCCAAAAAAAGAUAAACCUGGUCACUUUUCAAAGUUAGAGAUUCCUGUAACUUUAAUUUUUUUACCCUCACAUAUUUCGACUACAGCCUUCCUGCUCAGAAGAGGAACCUCAGGGAAGUUUAGAGUUGGAACAUAUAAAGGUAGCUAAUGAAGAAAAACCCACUGGUCUACUUACAAGAACUCUUUAACUUCAACUUUAUCAAUUUUUUUUUUGUCCUGUUUUAGUCUAAAUUUUGAUCCUACUGUUUGGCUUAGCAGAAAGAUGGGGCCUAAUUAAUGUGAGGGUGAAAACAUAAACAUUUUAAGAGGAGGAAUGUAUUUCCUCCCCUCUCCCUUUGUAAUCCAUAGUAAUAUUUAGUUUCAGGUGUACUGAAACAGCUAACAAGGCUCAUUUUAUGAUGCUUGUUUUUCAUAGAGUUGACCAUUUUUGGUGAAGCAAAAUUCAAAUUACUUUCACUGUCAUACAAUCUCCCAACUCUGUAUAUGUUGAUAGUUAUUAAUAUUUCAAGCUGUAAAAUGAACAGAAUCAUGUAUCUUAAGUGAGUGAUGAUAGCAGAAAAAAAGGUUCAUUUUAGGAUUUUUUUUUUAUUUCUAGCUAAACACAAGAAAACUGAAGAGAUUUGCUCAGGUUUAACAGUCCUCUUUGUUAUGAUACGGUUGCCAUGGAGAUCUGGUUCCCAUAUUACUGAGACACGUCCUCAGAUUUCUGUUUUUGAGGCCUUACCCACAGCGCAGUGCUUUCCACUGAGGCUGCAUUCACAGAGUUACAGUCAGAGCUUAAAAAUAGACAUUACCGUACAGCACGUCAUGUGCCUGUUGCUGUGUUCCUGCCAAACAGUCAUGACAGUAAACACCAGGUCACCAUGGCAGCAGUGUGAGUGGCUGACAAAAACAGGGGAAACAGGAAGGGAUUCCCUUUCAGCCUAGUGACGGACACGGCGUCACGUGGGUUCCCAUCAAACCUCUCCCUGGCAUGGCCGUGGGCUUCCCCAACUCAAUUCGCGCCAACU